UAAGCAUUAUACGGCGAAACUGCGAAUGGCUCAUUAUAUAAGUUAUUGUUUAUUUGAUAGUACCUUACUACUUGGAUAACCGUGGUAAUUCUAGAGCUAAUACAUGCUAAAAACCCCGACUUCGGAAGGGGUGAAUUUAUUAGAUUAAAAAACCAAUGCCCUCCGGGGCUCCUUGGUGAUUCAUGAUAACUCUUCGAAUCGCAUGGCCUUGCGCCGGCGAUGGUUCAUUCAAAUUUCUUCCCUAUCAACUUUCGAUGUUUGGGUAUUGGCCAAACAUGGUUACAACGGGUAACGGAGGGUUAGGGCUCGACCCCGGAGAAGGAGCCUGAGAAACGGCUACUACAUCCAAGGAAGGCAGCAGGCGCGCAAAUUACCCAAUCCCGACUCGGGGAGGUAGUGACAAUAAAUACUGAUACAGGGCUCUUUAGGGUCUUGUAAUUGGAAUGAGUACAAUUUAAAUCUCUUAACGAGGAACAAUUGGAGGGCAAGUCUGGUGCCAGCAGCCGCGGUAAUUCCAGCUCCAAUAGCGUAUAUUAAAGUUGUUGUGGUUAAAAAGCUCGUAGUUGAACCUUGGGCCUGGCUGGCCGGUCCGCCUCACCGCGUGCACUGGUCCGGCCGGGCCUUUCCCUCUGUGGAACCCCAUGCCCUUCACUGGGUGUGGCGGGGAAACAGGACUUUUACUUUGAAAAAAUUAGAGUGCUUCAAGCAGGCCUAUGCUCGAAUACAUUAGCAUGGAAUAAUAAAAUAGGACGCGCGGUUCUAUUUUGUUGGUUUCUAGGACCGCCGUAAUGAUUAAUAGGGACAGUCGGGGGCAUCAGUAUUCAAUUGUCAGAGGUGAAAUUCUUGGAUUUAUUGAAGACUAACUACUGCGAAAGCAUUUGCCAAGGAUGUUUUCAUUAAUCAGGAACGAAAGUUAGGGGAUCGAAGACGAUCAGAUACCGUCGUAGUCUUAACCGUAAACGAUGCCGACUAGGGAUCGGACGGUGUUAUUAUUUGACCCGUUCGGCACCUUACGAGAAAUCAAAGU
rnacentral:rRNA from 1 species